ACGACGCUGGCGGCGUGCCUAAUACAUGCAAGUCGAACGGUCUUUUCUAUGGAAGCUUGCUUCCACUGAGAAGAUAGUGGCGAACGGGUGAGUAACACGUGGGUAACCUGCCCAUAAGAGGGGGAUAACAUCCGGAAACGGGUGCUAAUACCGCAUAGUUUUUCUUGAUCGCAUGAUUGAGAAAGGAAAGACGGCCUUUGUGCUGUCGCUUAUGGAUGGACCCGCGGCGUAUUAGUUAGUUGGUGAGGUAACGGCUCACCAAGACGAUGAUACGUAGCCGACCUGAGAGGGUGAUCGGCCACAUUGGGACUGAGACACGGCCCAAACUCCUACGGGAGGCAGCAGUAGGGAAUCUUCCGCAAUGGACGAAAGUCUGACGGAGCAACGCCGCGUGAGUGAAGAAAGGUUUUCGGAUCGUAAAACUCUGUUGUCAGAGAAGAACAAGUUGGAGAGUAACUGCUCCAGCCUUGACGGUAUCUGACCAGAAAGCCACGGCUAACUACGUGCCAGCCGCUGC
rnacentral:rRNA from 1 species